AUUGAACGCUGGCGGCAGGCCUAACACAUGCAAGUCGAGCGAGUGGCGGACGGGUGAGUAAUGUCUGGGAAACUGCCUGAUGGAGGGGGAUAACUACUGGAAACGGUAGCUAAUACCGCAUACCAUCAGAUGUGCCCAGAUGGGAUUAGCUAGUUGGUGGGGUAAUGGCUCACCUAGGCGACGACCCCUAGCUGGUCUGAGAGGAUGACCAGCCACACUGGAACUGAUCCACGGUCCAGACGCCUACGUGAGGCAGCAGGGGGGAAUAUUGCACAAUGGGCGCAAGCCGGAUGCAGCAAUGCCGCGUGUAUGAAGAAGGCCUUCGGGUUGUAAAGCACUUUCAGCGGGGAGGCGUUACCCGCAGAAGAAGCACCGGCUAACUCGGUGCCAGCAGCCGCGGUAAUUC
rnacentral:rRNA from 1 species